UUAAAGGGUUACGGUACAGGAUGGGCAUGCGUCCUAUUAGCUAGAUGGUAAGGUACGGCUUACCAUGGCUACGAUAGGUAGGGGUCCUGAGAGGGAGAUCCCCCACACUGGUACUGAGACACGGACCAGACUCCUACGGGAGGCAGCAGUGAGGAAUAUUGGACAAUGGGCGCAAGCCUGAUCCAGCCAUGCCGCGUGCAGGAAGACGCGUCUAUGGUGUGUAAACUGCUUUUGUACGGGAAGAAACACUCCCUCGUGAGGGAGCUUGACGGUACCGUAAGAAUAAGGAUCGGCUAACUCCGUG
rnacentral:rRNA from 1 species